AGCAGCCGCGGUAAUUCCAGCUCCAAUAGCGUAUAUUAAAGUUGUUGCAGUUAAAAGCUCGUAGUUGAAUUUCGGGAUCAAUUAAUUGGUCGUGCCUCUGGUACGCACUGGUUUUAUUGGUUUCUCCCUUCUGACGAACCACGAUGUCAUUAAUUUGGUGUCGUGGAGAAUCAGGACUGUUACUUUGAAAAAUUGAGUGUUUAAAGCAGGCUAACGCUUGAAUACAUUAGCAUGGAAUAAUGAAAUAGGACGUUUGAUCCUAUUUUGUUGGUUUCUAGGAUCGACGUAAUGAUUAAUAGGGAUAGGUUGGGGGCAUUAGUAUU
rnacentral:rRNA from 1 species